UUCCACAGCCAUAUCAACCUGCAGCCAAAGACUGGUUACUCACUGAACUAAAGCAGGGCUGAGCCUGGUUAGAUGGGAGACCGCAUGGGAAUACUAGGUUGCUGUUGGAA
rnacentral:rRNA from 1 species